CAGAGGUAGCUUGCUACUUGCUGACGACCGGCGCACGGGUGCGUAACGCGUAUAGAAUCUACCUUGUACUAGGGGAUAGCCUUUGGAAACGAAGAUUAAUACCCUAUAGUAAGUAUUUAUGGCAUCAUUUAUACUUUAAAGGUUACGGUACAAGAUGACUAUGCGUCCUAUUAGUUUGUUGGUGAGGUAACGGCUCACCAAGACUUCGGUAGGUAGGGGCCCUGAGAGGGGGAUCCCCCACACUGGUACUGAGACACGGACCAGACUCCUACGGGAGGCAGCAGUGAGGAAUAUUGGACAAUGGAGGCAACUCUGAUCCAGCCAUGCCGCGUGCAGGAUGACGGCCCUAUGGGUUGUAAACUGCUUUUAUGUAGGAAGAAACACUCUCACGUGUGAGAGCUUGACGGUACUACAAGAAUAAGGACCGGCUAACUCCGUGCCAGCAGCCGCGGUAAUACGGAGGGUCCAAGCGUUAUCCGGAAUCAUUGGGUUUAAAGGGUUCGUAGGCGGGCUAUUAAGUCAGAGGUGAAAGUUUGCAGCUCAACUGUAAAAUUGCCUUUGAAACUGGUAGUCUUGAAUUAUUAUGAA
rnacentral:rRNA from 1 species